rnacentral:misc_RNA from 1 species
AAUAGUAAAUCCAGUAGUGGGA